rnacentral:rRNA from 1 species
GAGUUUGAUCCUGGCUCAGAACGAACGCUGGCGGCGUGCUUAACACAUGCAAGUCGAACGUGAUCCGGAGCUUGCUCCGGUGAAAGUGGCGCACGGGUGAGUAACGCGUGGAUAAUYUGCCCUGGUAUCUGGGAUAACAUCUCGAAAGGGGUGCUAAUACCGGAUAAGCCCACGGGAUCCUCGGAUUCUGCGGGAAAAGGUGGCCUCUAUUUAUAAGCUACCGUAUCAGGAUGAGUCCGCGUACCAUUAGCUAGUUGGUGGGGUAAUGGCCCACCAAGGCUACGAUGGUUAGCUGGUCUGAGAGGAUGAUCAGCCACACUGGAACUGAGACACGGUCCAGACUCCUACGGGAGGCAGCAGUGGGGAAUUUUGCGCAAUGGGGGAAACCCUGACGCAGCAACGCCGCGUGAGUGAUGAAGGCUUUCGGGUCGUAAAGCUCUGUCAGAGGGGAAGAAAUGAGUCUGGCUAAUAUCCAGAUUUCUUGACGGUACCCUCAAAGGAAGCACCGGCUAACUCCGUGCCAGCAGCCGCGGUAAUAC